AGCCGUCAGGUCCACAACCCCAGGACCACCCUCCUCCUCCUCCUCCUGCACCUGCGAACCUUCACCCCGAGCCUCUGAUCCUCGCUCCGCCGCAUCCAGUCGCUCGGCCAGAGCCAGACCCUCUUCACUAAGAGAAUAUCUGAGAGAGAAAACUGGUCGUCAUCGUCAUCGUCAUCAUCAUCAUAAACUUAUGACUUAACGUUUCCUCCCCGGUAGCUGUGGCGACGCCGACUCACAGACGAUAUCGCUGCAGGUCAGGAAAACUCUGUGAGCGGAGGUGGAGUGUGUCGGACUACAGGUGGUUGUGCGUCUUCACCAGCAGGCUCUUCUGGAUCAGCGUGCUGACGGACGACCAGGCCGUGUACUUGCUGCCCAGAUCAGGCUGCAGGUGUGGGAGUGAGAUGGAGACAGGAAGUCCGACGCCUGCCAUCAAAUUGGUGUCAGCUGACUCCACAGACCGUUAUGUGGUUGUCACCCGAAGCCGAUUCCAUGUCUCCUCAGGGCUGAGAGGGAGUUUGCAGGAAUCCUCCAACAAGACCGGACAGGGACCAGGAAUCCGACCUCACCCUCGAAGAGACACAUCCUCUCCCUUGAAACCAGGAUGCUGAUGCCACCAUGAGUUGGAGCCCGAAGAUGAAAUCCUGAGCAAG